GAUGAACGCUGGCGGCGUGCUUAACACAUGCAAGUCGAACGGGUGCUCUGGGCAACUGGAGCGCUAGUGGCAAACGGGUGCGUAACACGUGGGUGACCUACCCCGAAGUGGGGAACAACAGACCGAAAGGUUUGCUAAUACCGCAUAUGCUCGGUUCUUCAUUGAACUGAGAAAAGCCGCAAGGCGCUUUGGGAGGGGCCCGCGGCCCAUCAGGUAGUUGGUAGGGUAAUGGCCUACCAAGCCGAUGACGGGUAGCUGGUCUGAGAGGACGAUCAGCCACACUGGCACUGAGAUACGGGCCAGACUCCUACGGGUGGCAG
rnacentral:rRNA from 1 species